UACGUAGGGUGCGAGCGUUAAUCGGAAUUACUGGGCGUAAAGCGUGCGCAGGCGGUAAUGCAAGACAGAUGUGAAAUCCCCGGGCUCAACCUGGGAACUGCAUUUGUGACUGCACGGCUAGAGUACGGCAGAGGGGGGUGGAAUCCCACGUGUAGCAGUGAAAUGCGUAGAUAUGUGGAGGAACACCGAUGGCGAAGGCAGCCCCCUGGGCCAGUACUGACGCUCAUGCACGAAAGCGUGGGGAGCAAACAGGAUUAGAAACCCUGGUAGU
rnacentral:rRNA from 1 species